rnacentral:tRNA from 1 species
GGUCCCAUCGUCUAGCGGCCUAGGAUAUUGCCCUCUCACGGCAAAGACACGGGUUCGAUUCCCGUUGGGACUACCA